rnacentral:rRNA from 1 species
GUGUCAGCAGCCGCGGUAAUACGUAGGGUGCGAGCGUUAAUCGGAAUUACUGGGCGUAAAGCGUGCGCAGGCGGUGCUGUAAGACCGAUGUGAAAUCCCCGGGCUUAACCUGGGAACUGCAUUGGUGACUGCAGCGCUGGAGUAUGGCAGAGGGGGGUGGAAUUCCACGUGUAGCAGUGAAAUGCGUAGAGAUGUGGAGGAACACCGAUGGCGAAGGCAGCCCCCUGGGCCAAUACUGACGCUCAUGCACGAAAGCGUGGGGAGCAAACAGGAUUAGAUACCCUGGUAGUCC